UCUAUACCCCUAAACAACAAAAAAGAAAUAGAAACGAUAUUAUCUCUUCACUCGCAUCAAAUGGAUGAAAAUAUAGAGUUCAUUUUCUUCCUCCCUCCAUCUGUUUCGGUAUAGAAACACAAACCCAUUUUCUUGUUUCUGUAUUAGUGAUGAUGGAUUAAUGGAAAUGUAACUCCUAAUUUGAAACACUUUCAGACUUAUACCAUGCACCUUCUCUGUUCGUUAAAAUGCCUUGCAGAUUUUCGUUGAUAUUGAUUGUGGUUAAGGAUUCUAAAGUGAUCUUUCUAGGUUUGUACUCGAGACCUUGUUGAAAAUUCAAUGCAUCAUACAUUUCCUAACUGUUAGAGGAUGAUCAUGAGGAAGCAAGGCCAGUGGAUAAAAAGUCAAGAGACAAGGUUCUUUGUGUUCUUUUUUAGGCAUUUGGAAACGCAUCCUUUCUCAACAAUAGAUUAUCAACAGAUUGGCUCUUAAAGUUCGUUACUGUAUGCAAGAGGUUUCUAGAGAUUUUGCACAACUAGUUCUGACGCCACUACCAAGGCUUCAGUAUAUCCAUGUAGUUCAUUUUUAGAACUUUUGUUCAUGUAAAUUAUAAUAGAAUAUCUGUUGAAACUGUCUUGCAAAGCUGAAACCAAAUUGCUUUUCAUAAUGAAGAAACAAAUUUUUUAGACA